ACUGUGCCAAACCUGUUAUCAGUACUGGAGUUUUUGAGGAAAAUGGAAGGAAAAUGGGAACAAUAUCAAGAAACACGAAUGCCAGUUCAGGAUUUGCAGAAAUGAAAGCUUCUUGAAGUCCAAGGAUAAAACAAGUGAGAAGACAAGCGGAGAACAGAAAUUAAAAAACAGCUAAUUGACGUCAAAAAACCGAUUUAAGAUUACCAGUGAGUCGUCAGUACUACAAG